rnacentral:rRNA from 1 species
AUACGUAGGGGGCGAGCGUUGUCCGGAAUGAUUGGGCGUAAAGGGCGCGUAGGCGGCCCGGUAAGCCUGGAGUGAAAGUCCUGUUUUUAAGAUGGGAAUUGCUUUGGAUACUGUCGGGCUUGAGUGCAGGAGAGGUAAGUGGAAUUCCCAGUGUAGCGGUGAAAUGCGUAGAGAUUGGGAGGAACACCAGUGGCGAAGGCGACUUACUGGACUGUAACUGACGCUGAGGCGCGAAAGUGUGGGGAGCAAACAGGAUUAGAUACCCUGGUAGUCCACACUGUAAACGAUGAAUGCUAGGUGUAGGGGGUAUCGACCCCUUCUGUGCCGCAGUCAACACAAUAAGCAUUCCGCCUGGGGAGUACGGCCGCAAGGUUGAAACUCAAAGGAAUUGACGGGG